rnacentral:lncRNA from 1 species
GUCUCAGGAUUUGUAAUAUUUCCCAGUUUCACCAUAGACUCAGAAAACUGUUCAAAAAAGGCUAUUGCAUUUUCUGCAUAUUGCUUGACAAGCUUCCUUGUUUGGACUCCAAGAAUGCUAGAAUAGAGUUCUUGAUCAGAAUUAAGAAGACCUUCUCCUCUAAGAAGUAUGUGGUAAUACGAGUUGUCGAAAAGAUUAGGUGAAACAUAAUCCAUUGCGGCUUCGUUAUUGUCUCCUCCUCCUGCAGCCGGGCAUGUUGCCUUUAAAGUUUUGAGGUGUGAUUCCGCGAUAUCACCCAUAGUUGAAGUUGCUUGGUAAUCUCCGUAGAUUCUUUCUCGAUAGUUUGUACAACGCGCCAUCCCGAUUGUGUGAGCACCUUGUACAUGUUUUGAUCAUUUCAUAAUGUUAUAAACAAUGCUUGUUCAAUGCCACCAUAUCGGUGACCGAGAGGCUUUGAUACAUAAACUUAGCAAUGAUCGAUAGAAGGCCGUCAUUCGCACCAGGAAUAUUCGAUUCCACAAGCGAAAAGCUAGCCGUUUUCGAGUCUUUUCUUCCAGCCGGGACAUGCCAAUAAGGUCCAC